GAUGAACGCUAGCGACAGGCUUAACACAUGCAAGUCGAGGGGCAUCGGGGAGUAGCAAUACUCUGCCGGCGACCGGCGCACGGGUGCGUAACGCGUAUGCAACUUACCUUACAGAGGGGGAUAACCCGUUGAAAGACGGACUAACACCGCAUAUUCUUAUAUUAUCGCAUGAUAGAGUAAGGAAAUAUUUAUAGCUGUAAGAUAGGCAUGCGUCCCAUUAGCUAGUUGGUAGGGGUAACGGCUCACCAAGGCAACGAUGGGUAGGGGAACUGAGAGGUUUAUCCCCCACACUGGUACUGAGACACGGACCAGACUCCUACGGGAGGCAGCAGUGAGGAAUAUUGGUCAAUGGGCGAGAGCCUGAACCAGCCAAGUCGCGUGAAGGAUGAAGGUCUUAUGGAUUGUAAACUUCUUUUGCGGGAGAAUAACGGGCGCUACGAGUAGUGUUAUGAAUGUAUCCCAGCGAAUAAGCAUCAGCUAACUCCGUGCCAGCAGCCGCGGUAAUACGGAGGAUGCGAGCGUUAUCCGGAUUUAUUGGGUUUAAAGGGUGCGUAGGCGGCUUUUUAAGUCAGCGGUGAAAGGUUCGGGCUCAACCCGGACAUUGCCGUUGAAACUGGGGAGCUUGAGUAUGGAUGAGGUAGGCGGAAUGCGUGGUGUAGCGGUGAAAUGCAUAGAUAUCACGCAGAACUCCGAUUGCGAAGGCAGCUUACUAAGGCAUUACUGACGCUGAAGCACGAAAGCGUGGGUAUCAAACAGG
rnacentral:rRNA from 1 species